UGAGGAAUAUUGGUCAAGGGGGGCAACCCUGAACCAGCCAAGUCGCGGGAAGGAUGAAGGUCUUAUGGAUUGUAAACUUCUUUUACACGGGAAUAAAGCGGGGGACGUGUCCCUCUUUGCAUGUACCGUGUGAAUAAGGAUCGGCUAACGCCGUGCCAGCAGCCGCGGUAAUACGGAGGAUCCGAGCGUUAUCCGGAUGUAUUGGGGUUAAAGGGUGCGCAGGCGGGAUGUUAAGUCGGCGGUGAAAUUUUGCAGCUCAACUGUAAAAGUGCCUUCGAUACUGGCCUUCUUGAGUGUGUAUGAAGUAGGCGGAAUUUGUGGUGUCGCGUUGAUAUGCUUAGAUAUCACGCGUAACUCCGAUUGCG
rnacentral:rRNA from 1 species